rnacentral:rRNA from 1 species
AACGAACGCUGGCGGCAGGCCUAACACAUGCAAGUCGAGCGAGGACUUCGGUCCUAGCGGCGGACGGGUGAGUAACGCGUGGGAACGUGCCCUUUGCUUCGGAAUAGCCCUGGGAAACUGGGAGUAAUACCGGAUGAGCCCUUUGGGGGAAAGAUUUAUCGGCGAAGGAUCGGCCCGCGUUGGAUUAGGUAGUUGGUGGGGUAAUGACCUACCAAGCCGACGAUCCAUAGCUGGUUUGAGAGGAUGAUCAGCCACACUGGGACUGAGACACGGCCCAGACUCCUACGGGAGGCAGCAGUGGGGAAUCUUAGACAAUGGGGGAAACCCUGAUCUAGCCAUGCCGCGUGAGCGAUGAAGGCCUUAGGGUUGUAAAGCUCUUUCAGCUGGGAAGAUAAUGACGGUACCAGCAGAAGAAGCCCCGGCUAACUCCGUG